rnacentral:lncRNA from 1 species
UUUGUAUUUUCAUCGGAGACAGAGUUUCACCAUGUUGGCCGGGCUGGUCUUGAACUCCUGACCUCAAAUGAUGUACCCACCUCAGCCUCCCAAAGUGUUGGGAUUAUAGGCGUGAGCCACCAUGCCCAGCCCCAUCCAUGCAUUUCUAUUAAUGUCUGCUAUCCUUGAGAAACUGUACAUAAAACAUUUUUGUCCCCACAUCACUGAAGAUAGGACAGAAGCAAGUGACAGUCAGACAACUGUGUAUUAAGGGUAUGCUCUUACAGUGCUCACAGUUUGAUAUAUGGCUGUGGGGCUGUUUCUCUAGAUUUGUAAUACAUACUUUGCAGGUGAAAGUUUCUGGAAUGUGAGUAUAGCCUCAUUUGGGAGUUAGAGCUCAUUUGGGAGUUAGGUGUAGGUAGAAUAACAUUGUGAUUUGAGGCUACUGCCAGGUUAUGCCUUUUCAAAAAUAGACUUUUCACUCAUUUGGCAUGGCCUCCCCUUUCUUCUCUAUUUGGCCUGAAAUUCUUAAUUUCCCUCUCUCUCAAGAUAGAAUUAAGGGCAAGUGUGCUGGAAGUGUUUAAUUUGGCAAGACCACCAUUGAUAGACACAUAUGUUGCCCGGGCAAAAAAGAUGCUGGUUAAUAUUUGGAUGAGAAGGGUACAUGUUUUCUUCCUCUCCCAGUUGUGGUGAUACCUGUCAGUUUGUCAGAUACUAUUUUGCUACCUUGUCACUGUGGAAAUUUCAUAAGACCUAAGCUUCCAACUGGCCAGGGCACUGUUAUUUUGGGAGGACUUACCUGUGCUCACAGAUUAUAGUAAGACACUUAUUCUUAAAUAACUUAGAAGUAAGAGAGAAAUAGUGGUCUUGGGAUAAAGCUUGAAAUGUACUGAGUGGCUUCAGAACAAGAAUGGCCUGUUGCCGAUGGACUAUAUUAAUACAUCUAAGGAAAAGAUGUGCCAAUCUUUAUUUUUCAGUCUUUAAAACAUGGUUUUAAAUAAAAACCAAGUAACAAAUGUAUCUCCAGAGUAUUUAAUAUCAUGAGACAUGUUUACAGUGUGCUGUUUAAUAGAAUAAAAAUCAUGAUACUCUUUAAUACCUGUACAUCUCCAUGGAUGGAAACCUUCAUAGUAAGAUUGUUUUUUCUUUUCCUUUUUUUUCUCAUACUUCUAUUUUUUUUAUUAUCACAGCAAGGUGUGAGAAUUUUUUUCUUAUACUUGAAAAAUGCUUUUCUGUGAUUGCUAAAGUCUCUGAAAUGAGUAAGUAUUAAUUUACAAAAUACAUUUCAGCCAUUAAUUAUUAUUUAGAAAAGAAUACAUGUAUAGAAAGAAAGAAGAGAUUGUAAAAGACCAGCAAUGGUUGUGUUCUUCUCCUCUGCCCUGGUGUAACAACUCUGGCCCUUGUAGGUCUCUGCCUUUUGUGGAGAUGUUUAUAAUAAGCCCUCUUAGCCUCAUGCCCGUCAUACAUUCAGGCCGUAAAGCUUAUCAAAUAGCCAUCCUGUUAUGAUUUAGCUUUCCAGGUACUUGGUCUGCAGAAAGAGUAUAUCUUAGCAGGAGGUCCCACAUAUGUGUUCUUUUGGCCAGAUUUUAUUUUAUUUUAAAGCAAUAAUUUGGCCCAUUGGUUGAUUCGUAAGUCUGUGUAAAUUUCUCAGCCUGUUGACAAACUAGUCUUCCAAAUGUGCAAUACUAAGUUCAUCCAGAGUAAUUCUUUACCUUUUGAUAGGUGGCCUGAAGUUGUUUCUAGUAAUAGCUCCUGUACCACGUGCCAACUGGGCUUUUCAUUUUCAAAAGUUUAUUGAAGAAAGAAAAUUGAGGGCUGGGCACAGUG